rnacentral:rRNA from 1 species
GUCUAUAGUCAUACCACCCUGAACACCCCCAAUCUCAUCUGAUCUGGCAAGCAAAGCAGUCAGGCCUGGUUAGUACUUGGAUGGGAGAACAUUCUCCAGGAUAGACC